rnacentral:rRNA from 1 species
GACGAACGCUGGCGGCAGGCCUAACACAUGCAAGUCGAGCGCGAACGUCUUCGGAUGAGUAAAGCGGCGAACGGGUGAGUAAUGCAUGGGAAUCUGCCUGGUAGUGGGGGACAACGUUUCGAAAGGGACGCUAAUACCGCAUACGCACUACGGGGGAAAGGGGGGGAUCUUCGGACCUCUCGCUAUCAGAUGAGCCCAUGUCAGAUUAGCUAGUUGGUAAGGUAAAGGCCUACCAAGGCGACGAUCUGUAACUGGUCUGAGAGGAUGAUCAGUCACACUGGAACUGAGACACGGUCCAGACUCCUACGGGAGGCAGCAGUGGGGAAUAUUGGACAAUGGGGGCAACCCUGAUCCAGCCAUGCCGCGUGUGUGAAGAGGGCCCUUGGGUUGUAAAGCACUUUCAGUGGGGAGAAAGGUCUGGCACCUAAUACGUGUUGGAAUUGAUGUUACCCACAGAAGAAGCACCGGCUAACUCCGUGCCAGCCGCCGCCGUAA